AGGGUAAUAGUUCAGUGGUAGAGCAUGUGCUUACUGUGCAUAAGGUCCUAGGUUCAAUCCCCAGCACCUCCA
rnacentral:tRNA from 1 species